GGAAGGGGGGGGCGCAGUCUGAUGCAGCACGCCGCGUGCGGGAAGAAGGCCCUAGGGUUGUAAACCGCUUUCAGCAGGGAAGAAACUGACGGUACCUGCAGAAGAAGGUGCGGCCAACUACGUGCCAGCAGCCGCGGUGACACGUAGGCACCAAGCGUUGUCCGGAUUUAUUGGGCGUAAAGAGCUCGUAGGCGGUUCAGUAAGUCGGGUGUGAAAACUCUGGGCUCAACCCAGACAGGCCACCCGAUACUGCUGUGACUUGAGUACGGUAGGGGAGUGGGGAACUCCUGGUGUAGCGGUGAAAUGCGCAGAUAUCAGGAAGAACACCGGUGGCGAAGGCGCCACUCUGGGCCGUAACUGACGCUGAGGAGCGAAAGCGUGGGUAGCAAACAGGAUUAGAUACCCUGGUAGUCCACGCCGUAAACGUUGGGCACUAGGUGUGGGUCUCAACCAACGAGAUCCGCGCCGUCGCUAACGCAUUAAGUGCCCCGCCUGGGGAGUACGGUCGCAAGACUAAAACUCAAAGGAAUUGACGGGAAGGAAAGGGGCCACGCCC
rnacentral:rRNA from 1 species